UAGGGAAUCUUCGGCAAUGGACGAAAGUCUGACCGAGCAACGCCGCGUGAGUGAAGAAGGUUCUCGGAUCGUAAAACUCUGUUGUUAGAGAAGAACAAGGACGUUAGUAACUGAACGUCCCCUGACGGUAUCUAACCAGAAAGCCACGGCUAACUACGUGCCAGCAGCCGCGGUAAUACGUAGGUGGCAAGCGUUGUCCGGAUUUAUUGGGCGUAAAGCGAGCGCAGGCGGUUUCUUAAGUCUGAUGUGAAAGCCCCCGGCUCAACCGGGGAGGGUCAUUGGAAACUGGGAGACUUGAGUGAAGAAGAGGAGAGUGGAAUUCCAGGUGUAGCGGUGAAAUGCGUAGAUAUAUGGAGGAACACCAGUGGCGAAGGCGGCUCUCUGGUCUGUAACUGACGCUGAGGCUCGAAAGCGUGGGGAGCAAACAGG
rnacentral:rRNA from 1 species